AUUGAACGCUGGCGGCAUGCUUUACAAAUGCAAGUCGAACGGCAGCACGGGCUUCGGCCUGGUGGCGAAUGGCGAACGGGUGAGGAAUAUAUCGGAAAGUACCCAGUAGUGGGGGAUAACGUAGCGAAAGUUACGCUAAUAUCGCAUACGAUCUAUGGAUGAAAGCAGGGGACCGCAAGGCCUUGUGCUCCUGGAGCGUGCGCUAUCUGAUUAUCUAGUUGGUGAGGUGAAGGCUCACCAAGGCGGCGAUCAGUAGCUGGUCUGAGAGGACGACCAGCCACACUGGAACUGAGACACGGUCCAGACUCCUAAGGGAGGCAGCAGUGGGGAAUUUUGGGCAAUGGGCGCAAGCCUGAUCCAGCAAUGCCGCGUGAGUGAAGAAGGCCUUCGGGUUGUAAUGCUCUCUUGUCAGGGAAGAAACGGUAGAGGCUAAUAUCCUUUGCUAAUGACGGUACCUGAAGAAUAAGCACCGGCUAACUACGUG
rnacentral:rRNA from 1 species